ACGGGUGAGCAAUAUAUCGGAACGUGCCCAAUCGUGGGGGAUAACGUAGAGAAAUUUACGCUAAUACCGCAUACGAUCUAAGGAUGAAAGCGGGGGAUCGCAAGACCUCGCGCGAUUGGAGCGGCUGAUAUCAGAUUAGGUUGUUGGUGAGGUAAAAGCUCACCAAGCCGACGAUCUGUAGCUGGUUUGAGAGAACGACCAGCCACACUGGGACUGAGACACGGCCCAGACUCCUACGGGAGGCAGCAGUGGGGAAUUUUGGACAAUGGGCGAAAGCCUGAUCCAGCAAUGCCGCGUGCAGGAAGAAGGCCUUCGGGUUGUAAACUGCUUUUGUACGGAACGAAACGGCUCUUUCUAAUAAAGAGGGCUAAUGACGGUACCGUAAGAAUAAGCACCGGCUAACUACGUGCCAGCAGCCGCGGUAAUACGUAGGGUGCGAGCGUUAAUCGGAAUUACUGGGCGUAAAGCGUGCGCAGGCGGUUAUAUAAGACAGUUGUGAAAUCCCCGGGCUCAACCUGGGAAUUGCAUCUGUGACUGUAUAGCUAGAGUACGGUAGAGGGGGAUGGAAUUCCGCGUGUAGCAGUGAAAUGC
rnacentral:rRNA from 1 species